CCACCACGGCUUGAUGGCCGCCACACACACCACAGUACCCCCCCAGCCCUUUAAGAACGUCCCCUGGGAACCCUAGAUCGAGCUCGUCCGAUCCCCUCUCUUUCCCCAUUGUGCCCCCUCUCCUUCCGCUCGAAAACGAGCUCGCGAGAUCGCACUGUGGCUGUGUGUGUCAUCGCCGUUGCCGCGGCCUGAGUACUCCCCGGCGUUGGAGGAGUUGUCCAGGCGGACCGCCAUCAACCACCGCAUCUUCUUCGAGUCCCCGUUCAUCGGGAGCAGCACCACAACGACGGCAUCGACCGACUCCACCAACCUCGACCGCCGCCAUCUCGCCAUCGUCCCGUGAGCUCCGGCCAUCCCCAACCCCCUCGAGCUUGUCCACGACCUCCCCGCAAUAACGGAUCCCAGGAGCCAGACGACACCACUGAUGACUACUACUACCCGGAGGAUGCCUACUACUACGUGAAGACUGCAGAUGACUAGGAGUAGUUAGGAGGCUCCCAGGCAAGAGGUCUUGCCUUUUCGAUCUUUGCUGCUUUUGUGCUAGCCUUCUUAAGGCAAUCUUGUUUAACUCAUGUCUGUACUCAGAUAUUGUUGCUUCCGCUGACUCUUGUGUUUUCGAGCUUAUGUAUUCGAGCCCUCGAGGCCCCUGGCUUGUAAUAUAAAGCUUCUAUUAUUUUAA